rnacentral:rRNA from 1 species
UACAGAGGGUGCGAGCGUUUGUUCGGAAUUAUUGGGCGUAAAGGGCGCGUAGGCGGUGCGGUAAGUCACCUGUGAAAUCUCCUGGCUCAACUGGGAGCUUGCAGGCGAAACUGCCGUGCUGGAGUGUGGGAGAGGUGCGUGGAAUUCCCGGUGUAGCGGUGAAAUGCGCAGAUAUCGGGAAGAACACCCGUGGCGAAGGCGGCUCUCUGGGACGGUACUGACGCUGAGACGCGAAAGCGUGGGGAGCGAACAGG